rnacentral:tRNA from 2 species
GCCAACGUAGCUCAGUGGUAGAGCAGCUGUUUCGUAAACAGCAGGUCGACAGUUCAAUCCUGUCCGUUGGCUCCA